rnacentral:rRNA from 1 species
GACGUAGGGGGCCAGCGUUGUUCGGAAUUACUGGGUGUAAAGGGUUCGUAGGCGGUGUGGCAAGUCGGGAGUGAAAUCUCUGGGCUCAACCCAGAGUCUGCUUCCGAAACUGCUGUGCUUGAGUGUGGGAGAGGCGCGUGGAAUUGCAGGUGUAGCGGUGAAAUGCGCAGAUAUCAGGAGGAACACCAAUUGCGAAGGCAGCUCGCUGGGACGUGACUGACGCUGAGACGCGAAAGCGUGGGGAGCGAACAGG